UUUUCAAGACCUAGACACAACCUAAAAAAAACCUAACACAUCUAAGGGAGCCGUUUCUCAUGAUCUGGAACCAAAAAAAACCCUAAGACCAUCAUCUUCCUCAACCUAACACACCUAGGCCCCUAACCUAGAGGAUCCCUGAGAAAUCAGCCGCAUACGCUCCUUCUUGAACCAGCGAAGAACAGAGCUCCAUCAGCCAUCUCCACCUUUCUUCUUCAACCUUCAGACACCCUAACGCCACUUCCCCUCCGGCCAAACCCAAACAGCCGAAACCCAACCCUUUCCUACAAAAUCUUUGGCAGUCGACCACCCUAGAACGACCAUCUCCACCAAACCAUCAGCCGUUGCCAAUUUCCAAACAUUCAAAAUAGCUGAAACAUAACAAAGAGGGGGGGAUAGAAGAUAGAUUUAGAAAGAAAACAAAAAAUACAGAGCGAGAAAAGGGUUUACAAAUAGAGAACAAAGAGAUGCGAGUUUCAAUCCAUCUCUGUUUUUUGUUAAACCACAAAAAACUUCAGCCUUCUUCAACCAUGAAAGCUGUAAAACCAGCUCUAAGAACGUGAAAACAGUAGCUCAAACCACUGCUCGUCGCCGUGAAAAUAGCGGCGUGUGUGUGCGAUUUUCUGAUUCUCGCCGGAAUUUUAGAUCGACUAUUUUUUAAACUUCCCGGCGAAUUUCGAGAUUGUCCGGGUGAGGUAGUCCAAGGUUUAAAAGCAGAAAAAUCGCUUGCGCCCUUCUUCAAUAACUUGGUAAUUGCUUUCUUAAUUGCUUUAACACCCAUCUUACCGGAGGACGGGGACAAAUAAGCCUCUGAAUUCGCCGGAGUUGGAAAGCGCGAGGGUUAUGAUCUUGAUAUAGCUGAAGUUUGGUAAGUUUUGUUUUGACUUAAUAUAAAGGUUUUCAUAUUUACUUGAUAUAGUUUCACUUAAUUUAAGUAAAGAUUUUCCUGAAUUCAGUAUUUUGGCCUUAGUCUUCGAAGCUAUAUGAUCUUGGAUACUAUAAUUAAGGAAAAUGAAUUAUGCUGGUAAUUAUGUUAAGAGUUGUUAUCUUCAGCAUCUUAAUAUUCAUUCAUUUGAUUAUGUAAUCUUGUUUGAAUUGAACUUCUGUGCAUAUAUUGAUUCCAGUGGUUUCGCAAAUGCUUGAGUCUCUUUUCUAGUGAUUGAAUUUAAAUGCAGUCUUUUACUUUUUGUCCCGCAUAUAUUCAUUGCAAUAGUAGUCUUGGAAAGAAAAUGUGUAGGCAAAGUUGUUUGUUUGAAUUAAUAAAAAUAAAGAAUAUCUUUUCAAUAUUAGUUCCGAUUGUAAAGUAGCCAGUUUAACACUGUUCGCUAAUGAUGUGGGAAUUAGAUUUGAGCAAUUUACAAAAAUGAAGACGUGAAUGGAAUUUGGUGCCGAUUGUUUUUUCAAUUAAAUCUUAUGGAUUUAGUGCUCUGUUAAGUUGACCCAUUUUUCUAUAUUUCAUAUCCCUAAUUCAUAACCUCACAAUAAAUCUCAAAUUAGUUUUAAGAAUAACCAUGAAUUUCGUAGUUUGCUUUAGGCGCGUUAUAAUAAAUCAUCAUAACUACGAGUACGGUUUCCGUGACGUAGUUGUGAUAUGUAAUUCUCAAAUCCGGGUGCACAUUUUAUGUGACCCGACCACAACUUCGAACCAUUAAUAAAUUAAAUAUGUUAUAUAUCAUGGGUACGGUUCCCGUGACACAAUUCACAAUGUGUACAAAACAUACAAGUGUACGACAAUCGUAACUUGUUCCAGAAUAAUUUCAUAAAUAAAUAAAUAAAAGCGGUUAAAAGGUUAAAAAUGCACAAUAGGUAUAAAAAAUGUAAUAAAUCAGAUAAAGAGACCAAUUAUUAAUAGUUGAGCAACCAUGCUAAAAUCACGGAACUCGGGAAUGCCUAACACCUUCUCCCGGGUUAACAAAAUUCCUUACCCGAAUUUCUAUAUUUUGCGGACCAUAAAUAGAGUCAAUCUUCCUCGAUUUGAGAUUUUAAACCGGUGAUUUGGGACACUAUAAAUUAUCCCAAGUGGCGACUCUGAUUUUGAAUAAAUAAUUCCGUUUCGGUUUUGUCACUUUAAUUGGAAAAACUCCCUUAUAUACCCCUUUCGGGUAGAAAAAGGAGGUGUGACAGCUCUGGCAACUCUGCUGGGGACAAGAACCCAGAAUCUCUGGUUCAGGGUUCAAGAAUUCGAGCUUAGAAUAAUUGUUAUAUUUGGCUUUUAUUUAUUAUCUGAUUUUUACUACAUGCUUGGGCCUAAUUAAUGGUGUCUAACAAGCCAGGUUUAACCGUAACUGGACCGGCCUAGACUGGUUAAAAUCAGAACCGGCCCGGACCGGUACAAGGGAGCCGGGUGGGGUUGGGUUAGAGGGGUAGGGGGUUUAAUCCGUUCACCUAUUUUUAACCGGUUACUCGGACCGGUCAAACCCGAUCAUCAGAAAUACUAUAGAACCAGUUAAACUGGCCUGGCCCAGACCAGACCAGCCCGACCCAGACCGGUUAACGACUAAUUUCUUUUUUUUAAAAUUGUUGAUUGGCUUAUUUGGUUACCAUUGGCAACAGUCACCUACCAAGGAGUCGUUGCCCAACGGCUGAUUUGCACAAUUAGCCCUUUUUUGGGAUUUAUUUUCAAAAAAUUAACACUUUUUGUAAUUACAAAUUUAACCCUUUUGUAAAACUAUAAAUACACCCCCUCUCUUCUUAUUUCUUCACUCACUCUCAUUUCUCAAUCUCAAUUUCUCAAUUCAAGUUAAAUCAUGCUCCGUACUUCUAGAGUGCGCUCAUAUGUUUGGGAACACUUUGAGGUGGUAGAAAAAAAUGAAGUUCACAAAGUAAAGUGCAAGAAUUGUGGUCGAGUCUUAAAUCUUCGUCCAAAGUGUGGCACAGGCUGUUUAGGGAGGCAUAUGAAGAGUUGUCUUGAGCGUCCUCUAAAAAUUCGUAUUUAAGUUGAUUUGAGACAAUUUGUGUUAUUUUAAAAUUAUUAUACGUAUUUAUGCUUAAUGUUUUAGUUUGUUAGAUUAAUUUGAAGUAUUGUUAUGCAUGAAAAUUUAGUUUUACUUUUUUUUCCGUUAAUUUACUUGUUAAAUGCAAACAUCCAUUUGUAAUUUUGAAAUAAAUGUAGCACUUGCAAUUUAUAAGUGCAAUUUUUCCCAUCUUCAUUUUAUUCUUUAUAUUAAUAUAACUUACAAUAGUUAUACAAAAUACAAAAAAUGUAACGACCCGACCGGUCGUUUUGAGCUUUAGCACUUCGCUCGCUAGUUCUCGGGCAUGACUAGCACCGUGCGGUGUAUUAUGACUUAUAUAAAUCGUCGAUUUUGGUUUUCAGGGUAAUCAGAAUGAAUUUGGAAGAACAGUUCUCAGUCUGAAGCUUAAAAUUUGAAAGGUUGACCAAGUUUUGACUUGUUAGUAUAUGAUCUCGGAUUGGAAUUUUUAUGAUUUUGUUAGCUCCGUUAGGUGAUUUAGGACUUAGGAGCAUGAUCGGAAUGUAUUUUGGAGGUCCGUGGAAGGUUAAGGGUUGAAUUGGCGAAAUGGGCUUUUUGGCAUUUUUCAGUUGAUAGGUGAGAUUUUAAUAUAGGGGUCGGAAUGGAAUUCCGGAAGUUGGAGUAGGUCCGUUGUGUUAUUUGUGACGCAUGGGCAAAAUUUCAGGUCAUUCGGACGAGGUUUGAUAGACCUUUUGAUCGAAUUCAGAAUUCAGAAGUUUUUGGAAUUCUUAUGCUUGAAUCCGAUGUGAUCUUAGUGUUUUGAUGUUGGUUUGAGCGUCCCGAAGGUUGGAUCAAGUUUGAAUGAUGAUAUGAGAUAUGUUGGCAUAUUUGGUUGAGGUCCCGAGAGCCUCGGGUGAGUUUCAGGUGGUUAAACGGAUCAAAUUCUUGUUUUGAAAGUUGCAGAUUUCUUCAGAUCAGUGUUGCAGAGUUUUGCUCUUCGUGUUCGCGAGAGGGCCCUCGCGUUCGCGAAGAGAUGUUGAGUGAGUCAGGCCAGUUACCCUUCGCGUUCGCGAUGUUGGUCCCGCAUUCGUGAAGGUUGAGUCUAAUUGUGCAUCGCGAACGCGUGGCAUGGUUCGCGUUCACGUAGAAGGGUGAAGCAGACUUGGGCACCUGGCCCUAAAGCAUCGCAUUUGCGACUGAAGAAACGUGUUCGUGUAGGCUGAGCUGAGUAAGGCAUCGCGUUCGCGAGGGUAGUGUUCGCGUUCGUGUAAGAGGAAAUUUGAGCUCUGAAUUAUUUUUUCUUCGCGAACGCGAGGCUUUUACAGCGUUCGCGAAGAAGGAAUUUUUGGCUUCAGCAGAAUGUUUAAAUAGCCAUGUUCGCGAUUUUUGGUCUAUCUUUCACCAUUUUUGAGCGAUUUUGGAGCUUUUUGAGUAGGAUUGAAGAGGGAAUCAAAGGGAAACACUUGGAGGUAAGAUUUUUGAACUCAAUACUCUAUCCUAUGUUGAUUCUUACUUGUUUAAACAUGAAAUUUGUGGAAAUUAAAGCCUAAAAUUAGGAAAGGGCUUGAAAUUGGAAAAGUAUAAAUUGGGGAUUUGAGGGGCCAUUUGAUGUUCGAUUUUGAUGUUCUUGGUAUGUAUGGACUCGUGAGAGGAUAUGGAUUUUAUUGAUUUAAUUUUUAUUGGAUUCCGAGACGUGGUCUCGUGGGUCGAGUUUGGCCAAUUUCAGGAUUUUUGCUAUAAAUUGGUUAUUUUCGAGUGGGCUUUAUUUCCUUAGCAUAUUUUGAUGGUAUGAAUCUGCUUUUGGCUAGAUUUGGAAAAUUCGGAGGCCGAGUUGAGAGGCAAAGGCAUCACGGGCUAGAGUUUGGACCAGAUCGAGGUAAGUAAUGAUUGUAAAUAUUUGUCCUGAGGGUAUGAAACCCCGAAUUUUCACAUCUUUGUGCUAUAUUGAGGUGACGCACACGCUAGAUGACAAGCGUGGGGGCGUGCACCGUUGGGGAUUGUGACUUAGUCCGUCCCGUAUGACUGUUUAACCGCAUAUUUGAUUGAAAACUGUUUGCUAUCAUCAUUUUUUGGGCUGAAUGCCAUAUUUGGGCCUCGUGCCAACUGUUUUGGACCCUUAGGGGAUUUUUACUACUAUUCCUCACUGUUUUGACUUCAUAUUUGCUCUCAGUCAUGCUGUAUUCUACUGUUUACAUAACUCAGCCAUAUUUACUCUGUUUUGACAUUUGAAAUAAUAUUUUGGGCUGAGCAUCAUGUUUUAUUAUGCCCAAGUGGCUUUGAGAGAUUUCUGACUAAGUGAGGUCGAGGGCCUAUGUUGUGAGGAUAUUAUGGGAUCGGGAUGCGCGCCACAUCAGUGUGGUACUGAUUUAAGAUUAUGAGGCCGAAGGCCUGAUUUGUUACGCCACGAGGUGGCUUGAUAUGAGGCUGAGAGCCUGUUUGAUUAUGCCAUGAGAUGGCUUGUUAUUGCGCUUGGGCCGUAAGGGGCCCUCCCAGAGUCUGUACACCCCUAGUGAGCGCGGGUACCCUGAGUGAGUGAUAUAUUGAUUAUGCCAUGAGAUGGCUUGUUAUUGCGCUUGAGUCCUACGGGGCCCCUCCUGGAGUCUGUACACCCCCAGUGAGCGCGGGUACAUAGUGUGAGAUGUGGUAUAGCCCGAGGGGCUGAUGUUGUUCUAUUUUAUUGCCUGAGGGGAGGUUCUUGAUUUAUGUUAUGCCCGAGGGGCUGAUUACGAGUGAUUGUGAGGUAGCCCGAGGGGCUGGUUCUGUUAAUAUUAUGCCCGAGGGGCGGUUUAUGGUACAUGUUUUGCCCGAGGGGCUGUUUACAUUUCUAUCAUGUUUACUCACUAUUUUUUCACUCGUUUGAAACUAUUGAAAAUUUGUUUUAAAAGGUUUUACCAAAACUGAGCAUGAUUUAUGAAGUAAAUGAUUUCUGUACUGUGUUGGAAAUAUCCUGCAUUUGUUGUAGCGUUUGACGUGGCUUACGUAUUUUCUUACUGCUCAACUUUCAUUUACCUUUAUUACUUAUUUAGUUGGAGUACUCACAUUACUCCCUGCACCUUGUGAGCAGAUUCAGGUAUUUCAGAACCCGGUAGCAGGUGUUGAUUGUUCAGUGGUAGAGUCAUCGGAGUUAGAAAGGUAGCUGCCCGACGUCCGCAUCACUGCUUUUCUCCCUCUUGUUUUCAUUAGACUGUAUUUAGUACAUUUUCAGAAUUUUUUGUUGUAUUCAGACCUUAGUUGAUGCUCGUGACUUGUGAGACCGCGAUGUUGGGCUUAUGUAUUUAUUCCGCACUAAUCAUUUAGACUUACAUUAUGAGAUAUCUGAUUAAUUAAAGGCUUAAAAAUGAUUAUUAUUAAUUAAAUAGUUAAUUCGGGAGUUGUGUCGGCUGGCCUAGUUUCACGAUAGGUGCCAUCACGACCGGGUUACUUUUAGGGUCAUGACAAGUUGGCAUCAAAGCCUAGGUUUUAUAGGUCUCACGAGUCAUGAGCAGGUUUAGUAGAGUCUCGCGGAUCGGUACGGAGACGUCUGUACUUAUCCUCGGGAGGCUGCAAAACCUUUAGGAAAAACUUCACAUUCUUGAAUUCUUAUCGUGCAUCCUUGAUUCAGCUUGAAAUGUAACUCUUUGAAUUCCUUCCAUGCGUUCGUACACGCGCAUGAGCGCUCGAUAUCAGUUGUGCAUCAACGGCUUGUGAUUUCCUGAUCGAGGGGUGAGAUAUGAUUUAUGUGUCUUGAUGUUGGGCCAGUAUGGAGGACUUGAGGCCGAGUUUUGCCUGUAGCUUGAGCACUGAGGCGUUGAUUAUGUGAGUACGUGCUUUUGGAUUCAUGUUUUCGGUAGUAUCCCUAUUAGUGGAAGUGAUGGCUGGAUGGCUAUGUGAUGAGUAUGAUGUGACUGCUAGAUGUGUUCAUACGAUUUGAAUGAGAUGAGAAUGGCGUGCUUGGUGAUGAGUGGUGAUGUUACCACUCAUUCUAGUCUCUUUUCUUUAGCUUUUAUGUCCUUUAACUAUAAUAUGAGGUCGUUUAUGGUGUGUAUUGCUAGAUUUUCAGGUAAAUGAUGCCAUGAAAUGAUUUGAAUUCAAUUGGAGUGGAAUUGAACAAAAGGGGUGAAAACCAUGCAAAACUCCCAUGUGAUUCCGCAUCUGCGGAAGGUUGGUCUCAUAACCCUGCUUCUGCAUGAAAAGUCCCGCUUCUGCAAAGUUGUCUGACCUUGCAAGAAACUGCAUCUGCGGUUAGAUUACUGCUUAUGCUGUUGCGCAUCUGCGCCGGGUAAACCACAUCUGUGGUGAUAGAGUUUAGUUGACAUUUCGCUUCUGCGAUGGGAUCUCCGCAUCUGGGGAGCCGCACCUGCGAGGAUUCUUCCGCAGGUGCGGUCAACAGACCUGGGCAAUUCAGGCAUUUCAUAUGUUCUCAACUUCAAACUAUUUUUAUACACGACCUAGCAGAUAUUUUGAGGAUCUUUGACUUAUUUUCAGUUCUUAGAACUAGAGAGAACAGGUGGAAGCUAGGGUUUUGCACACACACUUGNNN
rnacentral:lncRNA from 1 species